AUUGAACGCUGGCGGCAUGCCUUACACAUGCAAGUCGAACGGUAACAGGUCUUCGGAUGCUGACGAGUGGCGAACGGGUGAGUAAUACAUCGGAACGUGCCUAGUAGUGGGGGAUAACUACUCGAAAGAGUGGCUAAUACCGCAUGAGAUCUACGGAUGAAAGCAGGGGAUCGCAAGACCUUGUGCUACUAGAGCGGCCGAUGGCAGAUUAGGUAGUUGGUGGGAUAAAAGCUUACCAAGCCGACGAUCUGUAGCUGGUCUGAGAGGACGAUCAGUCAAACUGGGACUGAGACACGGCCCAGACUCCUACGGGAGGCAGCAGUGGGAGAUUUUGGACAAUGGGCGCAAGCCUGAUCCAGCAAUGCCGCGUGCAGGAUGAAGGCCUUCGGGUUGUAAACUGCUUUUGUACGGAACGAAAAGCCCUGGGUUAAUACCCUGGGGUCAUGACGGUACCGUAAGAAUAAGCACCGGCUAACUACGUGCCAGCAGCCGCAGUAAGA
rnacentral:rRNA from 1 species